CACGGGCCGGCCCUGCGGCAGCGGCUGGGCCGGCACAGCGGCGCCUUUUCCUGCCAUAUUUCUCCCGCCGCGUCUGUUUCUUUUUAAAGCCCCAGAGUAAGGGGAUGACAGAGGAGUGAAAAGAGCAACGUCCUAGGACGGGGGGAGGCGGCCGCGCUCCAGGGGCGCGGGUUCGCCCCACUCACAGAAAUGGCUCCCGCCGCCCCCUCCUCCGUGAGAGGCGAAACACAACCCGGGCGCUCCCCCCCGCGCUCCUGUGGCCGGGGCCGGAUUGGUCGUGAGGGGCCAGUGCUGGGAGCGCACGGAGGGGCCGUGAGGUGAUGGGGGGGAAGAUGGAGGCGCCUCUGAGGGCUCCCCUCACCCCGCCCCGCUCGGACCCGGCCGUGCAGGCCCGCGGGCCCGGGGCUGAAUCGUGCAGGCUUGUCCCGGGGCACUAAGGGUGCAUCGUUCCUGGAAGGGAUGAAGGAGUAUUGGGGAGUAUUUCUAGGAGGCGGGCUGGGUGGUCCUUGGGGCGCUGCCGAAAGCGCAGUGCUGUGAUACACUGCAGCUCUCAGUACAGCGAUGUUCACAAAAAAAGCCUGUCAAGACUGAUUUAAAGGUUGUGCCCAGGAACAGCUACCUGUGUUUUCUUGGGAUCCACCAACACAAGCAAGCGUGGACAUGGACUAAUGCAUGGACAGGACAAGAUGCAGAGUUGUCUUUGCUAAUUUCCUGGGCAAACAGACUGUGUAUCUUUAUGCAGAAGGAAACAGAGAGAAGUGAGAACUGUGAAGGACUGCUGCCUCAGAGCUGCUGUUGCCAUAGAGCUGCUAACGAGGAAAAAAACUGCAGCAUGGAUUUCUUGUGCUGUUGAAGCCAACUGGUCUGUUAUGGCUCCUGUGAUAACUGCAUCCAGUGGAAGGUGGAGAGGCAUCCACCAAAUUCAGACAGUGCUUCUAAUAAAUAUAUUUUUUCUCUUCACUUCUAAAACAAAUAUAAUUCUUUGGCAUAUCUCUGGAUUCUGCAGAGAAUUCUGAUUCUCUGUGGCUCAGUUUGAACUGAAACAGUAAGGUAAGUAAUUUAAUGCCUGAUCUUCAACCCACAGAUCAGCACUGUCAGGAUUCAUGGCAGAAGAGAAAAGAAUCUCUGUCAAGUUUCGAAUCCCUGUUACUCCAUAUUAGUAGGAGUUACGUCUUUGGAGCUUAGGGUUGAGUCUUCACUGGGUAGCAGAUUGAAACCAGUGCAGGAACAGCAGUACUUACCAGUAUUGUAGAAAUAUGCUUUACCCAAUUAGGAAAACCUUCCCUCUUUCCUUCUUGAAGCAGCCUCCCUCUUCUUUUAGAAUGCAGAAGAAACAUUUUGUUAUUAAUUACAUUUUACCAAAUGAACUUCACUUAAAGCUUAAUUAAAACUGUGGAAGCUGAAUUAUACUAAUGUAGUGUUGUAAACACAGCAGCAUUAGGAGUUGUGUGUGAGUAGCUGGUUAUAGGAUUGAAAAUAUCUAACCCCAUUAUUAUUUUUUAAGAAUAUUUGAGGAAUUUGUAGUUUGGAUUUGGUACAGCUCUGUCUACAUGACAAUGGCCACACAAUGAUGUCAUUUCUAAUUCUGUAGCCUCUUGUCCUCAGAGCUGAUAUUCCUACGUUGGGAACAAUUAUCUUGCUGGCUGAGAGACCUGAGAAAACAAGGAAGGAAAUGGGUUCUUACAUCUUAUCAAAUGCCAGUGUUCAUUGUUCAUGCUCCCCAUGUUCUGAUGUCAGGUGUUUGCACAGCUCUCUCCCAAGGCUUACACUGUGUCAACAUAGCACAGGAGGAUGAUUGGAACUGCUGAGUGUGAUUGAAAGGUCGUGUCUGAAUUGUGGCAAAAAUCCAAUAGGCCAUCCAUAGUAAAGCUGAGGAAUUUUCAUGGUCAGUUAAAAUACAUAUUUUGUCCCACAGUCACAGGUGGAAUGAACAAGAGAGAGAGCACAUUAAAUUCAGACAGCUGCAGAAUGGCCAUCAUGCAGCUCUGGAUGUCAGGAGUUUCAUCAACAGAAUUUUAAUUCAGACAUGUUUUCAUACCCCAGAGUCGUAGUUCCUGCACUAUCUGCAUCACUAAGAAUGCAAUUUUUCUGGUGCAGGAGUAGCCUUUAUUUUUUAUGUUCAUGAAAUUACACUUAGAGCAUUAUUUAUACACCUUGCUCAUAAUAAGUAACUGGCAAACUUCGGAGCUCUGUUGCUAGAGCUUAAUAUUUAAAACAGAUUGCACAGAUGGGGUGUUCUUAUCUACAUUGUUACUCACCCAAACGAAACGCUGAGUGUUAAGCCUACUAAGCCUUUCCUGACAAUCACAAAACUGACAUAAUUUGGAGAUCAUAAACCCUGUGGCAAAAAAUGUGCCAUCUGCUGGCCAAGGAGGAGAGUACCCGUUAGCCACUGUGGUCCCUGGACAGAGUGCGCCAGCGUGAUUCCAGC